AAAAACACCCACAUGAUGCAGACAAUCAGUAUCCACUUUUCCAGUCUGAAUCAGUGUAGCCUGGUGCAAACAGCUGAAAGCUGGGUCUUGCGUUGGAAAUGUCAAACCCUGUGUAACGGGCUGUAUGGGCUCUUUAAAAACUUGGCAGAGCUGCUCACCCUACCUUCUGCAUGUGUUGAGAAUCAGCUGAAGGGCUGAUUCCCAGCAAGCAUAUUUAAAUAUGUUUCCAGCUUAGGGAAAGAAAUGGAUGUUUGUCUCUUAGGGGAGCUGUUCCUUUCUCCCACCCCUCCCUUAUAUGUGCACGUACAUACACACACAAAAAAAGAGCAAAACAGCCAUAAAGGUACCCUCCAGGUGGAAAAGACCGUUCCUCCAUAGAUACAGAACAGCACUUUUGGCAGACCUGAACAGUAUUAGAGUUUAAGUGAGUUGAAAAUAGGAGACUGAUAAUGAGAUUUUGCCGUAGGCUGGCUUGUGCUGGCAGGCUUCAAGCACAGCCAGCCUGUCUACAAUUCACCCUAGAAGAGCUAAUGAAAAUAGAAACCGAAGAACCACAGUGCAUUAUUCAGCCUAGAGAGGUAAAAAUAUUGACUUGGAAAGACCACCACUCACAGAUGAAAUGACAGCUCUGAGUUGCAGCCACUUGCCUUUCAGUCAUGUUAAGAAGGCACUAACCUUCCAGUUGCAGAAAGAGUACAGUUCCUCAUUCAGCCCCCUCCAGAGCUGGCACGAGAGGAGUGCAAGGAAGGAGGGGUAUGGCAUUCACCAGCUCUGGUCAGAAUUAUGAUCCCUAUUUCUGCUGAUCCUGAGUGGCUCAUAGUCCUGUUAGCACUAAAUUGCCUUUCACAGGUAGGAGCUUGUGCCCAGGCACAGAAGAAGAGUUCUGGGAAGUCUGGGAAGCAAUGACUGCUUCAACCAGGAAGGAAGAACAGCUUUGCCAGUGGAUUUAUGCAGAAGACACCCGUGAUCCACUUCUUCCUGGAUGUGAGCUUUGCUGCAGCCUGAGCUCAGAGCGUCUCUGCUUGUACUUGGGAAGAGAACAGGAGGACUGCAAGUCAGAGAAGGCUCCAACAGAAUUUCUCAAGUUGGAUGGAGUACCAAUGGAUGUAUUGCAAAGUUCAGCAAAUUGGAUCAUAGCUUGCUGAUUGGAAAAGUUUCUGCAGAACAGCUUAUCUGAUAUGGUUUAGAAGCAAGAUCAUGAGGAAGAUAUUCAGGAAAGAAUUAAAAGUGAAACAGAAUAUGAAAUGUCAAUCAAACAGGAAUGCUUCAGCUGCUGAUGGAUCACAAAAGGAAGGAUCAUGUUCCCAAGUCUUUGAAGAUAAGGAUAAGAAGGAAGUAAUUGUUAAUGAUUUUCUGAUCUAAACCAAAAAUGAUUGACAACAUAAUGAAAUCCUGUAGUGUGCCAAAAUCCCAUAAUUUUACAUUGAACAGGAACAGAUGUCGGAGGAUGCUGAAUGAGAUUAGUUGCAUUAUACAGUACACAGCUAUGUGUGCCUAAUAAUAAAAGGUCUGCCCCAAGAAGCGUGAUGAACUUGUAAGCAACUUAAUAGUCUUCUGGAACUGGUUAUAGAUCUCAAAGAAUUUUUGUCACAAUUAAACA